CCGCUGUCACCACAUUGGCACCCGGUACUGACAGAGAGACGCCCCCUUCCCAGGACCAGUCGGGAAGCUCCAGUAGUCAUGAAGACACCAGUGACUCGGCACCAGAAUUGAGGGCCUCCAUCCUGCCCAGAACCUUGUCUCUUCGGAAUUCCAUCAGUAAAAUUAUGUCAGAAGCCGGCAGCGAGACCCUGGAGGAUGAGUGGCAGUCCAUCUCAGAGAUCGCCUCCACUUGCAACACAAUUCUGGAGUCACUGUCCCGGGAGGGACAGCCCAUCCUAGAGAGUGGAGACCCCAAGGAAACUUCAAAGUGUAAUUCUGAGUAAGGUUUCUGCCCUUGCACACCCCUUCACACAUGUGUGUGUGUGUGUGUGUGUGUGCGUGUGUGCACGCGCGUGUGUGUGCCCGCGCGCAUGUGUGUGCCCUUCCCUGCCUGCCCGUGGGAGUUGAAUGUUAUCUAGGCUCUGCUUCCGGAGAUUCCUAAAUCUCAGAAGACAGGGUUGGUUGGGUUCAUUAUCAGUCAGGAGUGUCUAGGAGCCUGCACUGCUUCCGCUGAGUUCUGACCCCGUGUCCUCAGGCCAGAACCUGGGAGCCUGUCAGAAAAGGUCUCUCACCUAGAGUCCAUGCUGAGGAAGCUCCAGGAGGACCUGCAGAGGGUGAGGAGAGAGCCUGACAGGGAAGCACAGGGCUACCCCUGGAAAGGGUUCUGACUACCAUUCCUCAACCUAGGAGAAGGCGGACAGGGCAGCCCUGGAGGAAGAGGUUCGGAGCCUCAGACACAACAACCAGAGGCUGCUGGCGGAGUCAGAGAGUGCCGCCACCCGCCUGCUCCUGGCCUCUAAGCAGCUGGGUUCACCCACUACUGACCUUGCCUGAGUUCCAGCCUGGACCUGCUUGGGACUGCCUGGCCCCUCAGAGCAGCUGGGUCAUACUAGUGACCUUCCUCAGGACGUCUUUCAGGCCCAUUUGGUGGCUGAUACCUGUCCCUGUUUGUAAAUAUUCUGUAAAGAAAAGGGGACAUCAGAGUUUAAAAAACAAAAAAACAGAAAACAAAAAAAACA
rnacentral:lncRNA from 1 species